rnacentral:lncRNA from 1 species
UCAAUUAAUGUUUUGAAUGGAUGAAAAUAAUAUCUGGAUCAGAUCACCAACUUUGGUUGAAAGUGCCACUUGGCUUCAUGAGCUAGUAGUGUAUCCCAACAUGAUGAAGGUGAUCUUGAUAUAAAAGAAAAAGGAUACAUCUAUAUAUAGAGUUACAAAAGACACGAAGUUCUCUUCGAGAAGGCACUAGAAACCGACAUUAGUUUCCAUAUGGAAGCUGCCAUCUAUUCCUUAAGCAUGGAUUAAUAGGAUUAGUUAAAUCUUAACAAAUCCACAGGGAGAACACUAGGAGGUGCCGGUAUUGCUUCACUGAAUACCUUUCUUUUGCUAGAAAAGGCAAUUUCUGCUUAUUGCAUCAUUACAUUUAGACCAUCAAAGCGCUUAACACUCAACGAUCAUCCUUGUAACAUGAUCAGUAAGAAUGGUAUGUGCAAUAUUUUCAGCAAAAUAUAUGUUCACUCGUAGUCUUAACAAUUCUCCAGAUGCAACAGAGUUGAUGGGAAUUUCUUGCACCCCCUAAAAACUCUUCAUGAUUUCCUAUUACGUUUGAGUUUGGGUAUUCCAAUGUCCCAGCCAGCGUAUGCAUACGAGAGCUUGGUGUAUACUACUCAUCAGAUGUUUGUCAAUCUUGAGUCGACUUGCAUUUACUAACUCCAAGGUUUUCUACUCGAUUUCAUUUAUUGCUUACUAGAAACUUGCUCCAAAUGAGAGGCCGUACUACCACUCUUUUUAGGGACAGAAAGUUGAGUGGUUCCUCCGGUCUUUGGCGCAUUUCUAACUGGAUUUAAGGAUAUUGUAACAUCUUUAAGAUCAGUAAAUGAAUCUGUUAAUUUAUUUACAGAUGUUGCAAAUUAAUGAUUUUCCAAACUUGAAGCCCAGUCUCAUGGAUACGUGGAUUAAAGGACAAAAUGCAUUUCAAUUAAUUUCCAAACAUAGAUUAAAGGGACGAAAUGGUGUGAACAUUCCAAUCAAUUUCUGUAUCUCCCCCUAAUGUCAAGAAAAGCUCCUCAUAAAUAUGCAAUCAUGACGGGUUGUGAACAGAUCCAUAGUAAGGUGUUUAAUAUAGUUGAUAAUCGAUGGCGAUUUAUACCCCUAAUGAAUCCCCAGUUUUCUAUGUGGAUCCAUAGAUGUCCGCUAUGGUGGUAAGACCGGGGUGUAUGCAACACAUCCAAACUUACACAAACAAGAAAUAAUAGGAGGAUUCACGCGUAGCAAUUACAAAGAAAAUACUAUGAUAUGCAGUUGGCUUUCAUNN